GUGCGGUCACAAAAAGCAUCAGUUUUUGAACGUUGGCUUUGCCAACGGCCCUUUAGGGGAGCAAUCCUGAAAAGGGUUGCGAAUAAAAAACGAAGUU
rnacentral:ncRNA from 1 species